UUAAUUCGAAGCAACGCGAAGAACCUUACCAGGUCUUGACAUCCCUGACACCCGAGAGAUCGGGCGUUCCCCUUCGGGGGACAGGGUGACAGGUGGUGCAUGGUUGUCGUCAGCUCGUGUCGUGAGAUGUUGGGUUAAGUCCCGCAACGAGCGCAACCCUCGACCUUAGUUGCCAGCAUUCAGUUGGGCACUCUAAGGUGACUGCCGGCUAAAAGUCGGAGGAAGGUGGGGAUGACGUCAAAUCAUCAUGCCCCUUAUGACCUGGGCUACACACGUGCUACAAUGGGCGGUACAAAGGGUCGCGAACCCGCGAGGGGGAGCCAAUCCCAAAAAGCCGCUCUCAGUUCGGAUUGCAGGCUGCAACUCGCCUGCAUGAAGCCGGAAUCGCUAGUAAUCGCGGAUCAGCAUGCCGCGGUGAAUACGUUCCCGGGCCUU
rnacentral:rRNA from 1 species